GGACUACUCGGGUAUCUAAUCCUGUUUGAUCCCCAUGCUUUCGUGCCUGAGCGUCAAUAAAGCGCCAAUUCGCUGCCUUCGCCACUGGUGUUCUUCCGAAUAUCUACACAUUUCACUGCUACACUCGGAAUUCCACGAAUCUCUCGCUUAUUCAAGACCCACAGUAUCAAAAGCAGUUUCGGCGUUAAGCGCCGAGAUUUCACUCCUGACUUAUGAGUCCGCCUGCGCACCCUUUACACCCAGUAAAUCCGGACAACGCUAGGAUCCUACGUAUUACCGCGGCUGCUGGCAC
rnacentral:rRNA from 1 species